UACGUAGGGUGCAAGCGUUAAUCGGAAUUACUGGGCGUAAAGCGUGCGCAGGCGGUUUUGUAAGACUGUCGUGAAAUCCCCGGGCUUAACCUGGGAAUGGCGAUGGUGACUGCAAGGCUAGAGUGUGGCAGAGGGGGGUGGAAUUCCACGUGUAGCAGUGAAAUGCGUAGAGAUGUGGAGGAACACCGAUGGCGAAGGCAGCCCCCUGGGUUAACACUGACGCUCAGGCACGAAAGCGCGGGGAGCAAACAGG
rnacentral:rRNA from 1 species